rnacentral:rRNA from 1 species
ACGGAAGGCAGCAGUGGGGAAUAUUGGGCAAGGGGCGGAAGCCUGACCCAGCAACGCCGCGUGAAGGAAGAAGGCUUUCGGGUUGUAAACUUCUUUUAAGGGGGAAGAGUAGAAGACUGUACCCCUAGAAUAAGCCACGGCUAACUACGUGCCAGCAGCCGCGGUAAUACGUAGGUGGCAAGCGUUGUCCGGAUUUACUGGGUGUAAAGGGCGUGUAGCCGGGGAGGCAAGUCAGAUGUGAAAACCAUGGGCUUAACUCAUGAACUGCAUUUGAAACUGUUUCUCUUGAGUGCUGGAGGGGCAAUCGGAAUUCCUUGUGUAGCGGUGAAAUGCGUAGAUAUAAGGAGGAACACCAGUGGCGAAGGCGGAUUGCUGGACAGUAACUGACGGUGAGGCGCGAAAGUGUGGGGAGCAAACAGGAUUCGAUACCCUGGUA